GGAUUAGUAGCUUAAGGUAAAGUGUUUGCUUGUCACGCAAAUGUAUGCUUGUUCGAGUCAAGUCUAAUUCG
rnacentral:tRNA from 1 species